ACACUGAUGGUGAAGUGGUUAUCAUGCUUGCCUUCCAUAUCCCUCAGUAUCCACGGAUGGUGAGCAAGCGGCAGGGGUUCGAUUCCCCUUCAGUGUA